GGAUUUCAAUAAGAAAAGAUGAUGACCACAAGUAUGGAGAUCUUGUGAAAACGAAUUUAUGGUGCGUAUAUCCUAAUAAGUCAUGGCGGAGCAUGUUCUGGUACUUGUCCAUAGUCUUCGAGAGACAUUCUCACUGUAACGAAUUGUGAGUUUUUCUAUCAAGGAUCAGAGGCCAGAGGUAAGGAAUUUCGCAGCCCCAUCAACUAUAGUUGAAUUUGUUGCAGUAUUCGCUGGAAGCAACGAAAAAUUUAGGUGUAUCUAACAAAGUCUUACAAUCU